CUCAAAAUGAUCUGUGAAGGCUUUUGCAUCUAGUAGUACCAUGCAAUGGUUUUAGACAAGGCAGCUCCUGACGUACCUGCUCUGAGUCACAGUGGGUUUUAGACAAGGCAGCUCCUCACUGUUUAUCUGAAUAGUAAAUACUCCAGAUAUCUCCUCCUCUAUAUGCCCACAGACUGACCUGUUUAUCUGCCUCCCUUAUUGAUCAUUCUCUCUAAAUAAUUUGGCUAAUAAAGGUAUUCUUUAUGCUGACAUUUGACCACUUUCCAACUUUCCACUUCUCUUUGGCAGCUGGAAAUGAACAGAUGGGAAGUAUUAGUAGCAUUAAAUGAUGGGGAGGAUUAGUAGCAUUAAAUGAUGGGGAGGAUUAUAGCAUUAAAUGAUGGGGAGGAUUAGUAGCAUUAAAUGAUGGGAGGAUUAGUAGCAUUAAAUGAUGGGGAGGAUUAGUAGCAUUAAAUGAUGGGAGGAUUAGUAGCAUUAAAUGAUGGGAGGAUUAGUAGCAUUAAAUGAUGGGGAGGAUUAGUAGCAUUAAAUGAUGGGGAGGAUUAGUAGCAUUAAAUGAUGGGGAGGAUUAGUAGCAUUAAAUGAUGGGGAGGAUUAUAGCAUUAAAUGAUGGGAGGAUUAGUAGCAUUAAAUGAUGGGGAGGAUUAGUAGCAUUAAAUGAUGGGGAGGAUUAGUAGCAUUAAAUGUAGAAUAUUGAACUAAAGUAAUUGGCAGAGCUUUUAAGAUGUUGAUUGAUAUUGUUUAUAUAAAAACCGUUUCUAAUCAGGUCGAUGAGGAGUCCUGCUGACCAGACUUUACUCCCGUCUUUCAACUCUGUAUUUCCCCAGUGUUUUCCCUUAGUUAAACCACGUAAGAGAUCAGCAGGUUCUGGAAACCUUGGUCCACAACCUUGGCCUCAAAACACCCCCAGAAUAACACAACUAGUUGAAUAAAAGGUUUCUCUCAAAUCCCUC
rnacentral:lncRNA from 1 species